GACUGAGUACCACUUAACUCUUAACCGAGAUCAUGAGCAGUCAGUCAGACGCUCGGUAUCAGGCUCAUAGCGUAAUUAAAGUGUGCAGUAAAAGGCUGGUAGCUUGAACCUUGGCUGCUGCGGUCGGCUCACGCGUGCACUCGUCCGCCGGGCUCAUAUGAAGAACUCAUGCCCUUCACUGGGCGUGCUGGGAAUCAGGACUUUUACUUUGAAAAAAUUAGAGUGUUCAAGCAGGCCUUUGCUCGAAUACGUUAGCAUGGAAUAAUAAAAUAGGGCGUGCGUUUCUAUUUUGUUGGUUUCUAGAGACGCCGCAAUGAUUAACAGGAACAGUCGGGGGCAUCAGUAUUCAGUUGUCAGAGGUGAAAUUCUUGGAUUUACUGAAGACUAACUACUGCGAAAGCAUUUGCCAAGGAUGUUUUCAUUAAUCAGUGAACGAAAGUUAGGGGAUCGAAGACGAUCAGAUACCGUCGUAGUCUUAACCGUAAACUAUGCCGACUAGGGAUCGGGCGAUGUUCUUUUUCUGACUCGCUCGGCACCUUACGAGAAAUCAAAGUUUUUGGGUUCUGGGGGGAUUAUGGUCGCAAGGCUGAAACUUAAAGAAAUUGACGGAAGGUCACCACCAGGCGUGGAGCCUGCGGCUUAAUUUGACUCAACACGGGGAAACUCACCAGGUCCAGAUGAAAUAAGGAUUGACAGAUUGAGAGCUCUUUCUUGAUUUUUCAGGUGGUGGUGCAUGGCCGUUCUUAGUUCGUGGGGUGACUUGUCUGCUUAAUUGCGAUAACGAGCGAGACCUUACUCUGCUAAAUAGCCAGGCUAACUUUGGUUGGUCGCCGGCUUCUUAGAGAGACUAUCAACUCAAGUUGAUGGAAGUUUGAGGCAAUAACAGGUCUGUGAUGCCCUUAGAUGUUCUGGGCCGCACGCGCGCUACACUGACAGAGCCAACGAGUUCUUUUCCUUGUUCGAAAGAAUUGGGUAAUCUUGUUAAACUCUGUCGUGCUGGGGAUAAAGCAUUGCAAUUAUUGCUUUUCAACGAGGAAUGCCUAGUAAGCGCGUGUCAUCAGCAUGCGUUGAUUACGUCCCUGACCUUUGUACACACCGCCCGUCGCUACUACCGAUUGAAUGGCUCAGUGAGGCCUUCGGACUGGCUCGAGGAGGUUGGCAACGACCACCUCAAGCCGGAAAGUUCGUCAAACUCGGUCAUUAGAGAAGUAAUGAGCUUGCCCGCAAC
rnacentral:rRNA from 1 species